UACGUAGGUGGCGAGCGUUGUCCGGAUUUACUGGGCGUAAAGCGCGCGCAGGCGGCAGUCUAAGUCCUCUGUGAAAUCACCCGGCUCAACUGGGUGGCUGCGGAGGAGACUGGGCAGCUUGAGGGGCCUAGAGGCCGGUGGAACUCCCGGUGUAGUGGUGAAAUGCGUAGAGAUCGGGAAGAACACCAGUGGCGAAGGCGGCCGGCUGGGGGCGCCCUGACGCUGAGGAACGAAAGCUAGGGGAGCAAACAGG
rnacentral:rRNA from 1 species